rnacentral:sRNA from 1 species
CUUUUGCCCAGGCUGGAGUGCAGAGGCACGAUCCUGGCCCACUGCAAUCCCCACCUCCCGGGUUCAAGCGAUUCUCCUGCCUCAGGCUUCAGAGUAGCUGGGAUUACAGUGGAUUUAUCUUCUGUGGCAGAUAAGUGAAGUAAUUCACUGCUAUAAAAUGGAAGACAUUGACAUUGUGGUAGUGGCAGAAGUCACAUUACGGUUAAGUGAAAUAUUGGAAUCUUUAGGAAGCCCAGGAAGAAAAUUUAAACAAUCUCUAGAUGUACCUUUAAGAGAAGGGACUAACAAAUUCCCUGGAGCUCCAAAAGGGAUCACAGAAAUUCUUCCAAUAUUACAGAAAAAUCCUGUGGAACAGUUACUUUUUGCUUAUAAACUUCUUGACAGAGCAAUCAGUGGAAUAAAUUUGAAUUGCAUGUUAACCUCUUUGCCAAAUGGAUCAUCAGUAAUUGACCACUGCUAUGCCAAGCGUACCCACCAUGUAGAUGGAGAUACUUACAAACCACUUGCCUCAAAUAGUUUCAUGAUGGAUUUGCAUCUUGAACUAAUUCAAGCUCAGCAUCGAAUAGCUGUUGUGCUUCUGGACAAAUUGCAAGGAAGCAUAUUCCUUAAUUCAGAGGAUUGAAGCUGAACAAAAUGCCCUAUAUUCCUAUCAGAAAUAUUUGGAAAGUUCAAAAAGAAAGAAAAGCAGAGUCCCCCCUCCACCUAUCCUGCUGUCUCGAACUCAUUGUUCUGUGACACUCAAACCUGCUCCAUUUACUUCAGAGGUUAAGGUCUCCUGGUACUGCAUUUUGGGUUGCAAAGCAGAAGGAAGUUAUGGAAAAGUACGGCUAAACAAUAAUCAUCUCCCAAAUUCAGGAGAAGCGAUACCAGCUGACGGUAAAAGUGUUUUUGAAGUGAAAGGUUUAGAAACCAAUGAAAAGUAUGUAUUUGCAGUUGCUGCCUAUUCUAACAACGGAAAGCUUGUCGGUGGUGCUAUUGGGGAGACAACUAAACCAAUUAUGGUUUAUCCCCCUCUUUCUACUAUUACUGCUCGGAUGUUCCUGACCCAGGUUGCCUAUCAAGUUGGUAACUAUGAAUUGGCUAAGAAAGUUUUCUCACCAGUUUGGGAUUAUUUUGUUGCUUCGCCACUUCAGGAUGAACAAUCUGUUAUUUGUUUAAGCAAUAUAAUUACUAUUACACAAAGAAGAUUACAUUCAGAUAUUUUGGCAGAGACUUCUUCAAUCCUCUUGUACCUUUUUCUUAGAAAUAUUUUUGUAACAAGUGACAUCAAAAUUAAAGAAGAAAAUCUUUUCUGUGAUAAUAUUAAAGGCAAUGAGAUUUUCCCAUCUCAACAAAUUGCCAGACUGAUUGAAUGUGAGAGAGUAUUAGUGGCAUUGGAACUUAGCAACUUCCUAAAUGAUUCCAGCUAUGCCCUUCAAGCUGUGACUCAAUGUUAUGGACUUCUUGCUCCCAUAAUUUAUCACAAUAUUGUUUUGGUACCUGUUGUACAGAUCCUGAUAAAGUGUAUAGUGGUUUUGCAAGGACUACCAAGUAUUGUCUGCUCGAAGAAACAUACUGUGAGCUUUGAAAGUAUACAACACAUGAUAGCUUGUUGUAUUUUCUACAUAACAAAGAUUCUUCGUUCAUGGAGGGAAUAUGACCUGGCAGUAAUGAUUAUAAAUUAUGGGAAAAAAAUGUUGGACAUCACACCAGGAUGCAAGUCUCUGUUUGAUGGUAGUAAUGAACAAGAAGAAAUGCCAGAGGAGGAUUCUUCUAAGAAGUCUUUAAAGACCAAGAAGCCACAGCAGAUACUACUGCCUGAAAAGAUAAAUGAACAGCUGGCCUUGUUGGAGACACACCUACUCAAACUGACAAAGCAAUAUGUUACAUCUGAACUCUCAGGAGGAGAGGACCCUAUAUUUCUUUAUCCUGUAGUUUUGAAUUGGUCGGUCAAAGGUGCCGUGAAAGAAGUUAUGAAAUUUAAGCAAAAACCAAGAUUUCUGGAAUUCUUUACACAAGUUAUGCUAAAAUGCAUGAAUGAGGAAAAAUUUCACCUUAUGGUAGAGGUAACAACUCCUGUCCAUGACUUCUUGAAAAGGAGAAAUGAGUCUCUACUUGGACUAAUAAAAGUGAAAUAUAAGGACAGUGCUUUGAAUAAAAAAGCAAACAAAUCUUUAAAGUUCAAAGCUGCAGUAAUGGAAAUUGGAAGAAGUGCAGAAAUGCAACAAAGAAUAAGAAGUAAAAAAAAGGAAACUCUAAGAGAUUUCAUUUUUAAAAAUCCAGCUAUUUCUGAAAUGGUGGCACAUGAAAGAAAUAGGAGAACCAGUGUUAGGAAAGCAGCACA